GUCCACGCCUAACGAUGUCAACUAGGUGUUGGGAAGGAGACUUCUUAGUACCGCAGCUAACGCGAUAAGUUGACCGCCUGGGAGUACGGUCGCAAGAUUAAACUCAAGGAUUGACGGGACCCGCACAAGCGGUGGAUUAUGUGGAUUAAUUCGAUGCAACGCGAAACCUUUACCUACCCUUGACAUGUCAGGAAGAUUUCCAGAGAUGGGAUUGUGCCCCGCAAGGGGAACCUGAACACAGGUGCUGCAUGGCUGUCGU
rnacentral:rRNA from 1 species